GCUUUUAGCCUCUAGAGUUUCUUUCUCUCACUUGGUCUCCUAUAAUAGAAUACGGUAUCUCCUGCAGAAGGGGCUGCCACUUCGUUUUAAUACACCAUCAAGGAGCUGCUGAUGGACUUCUAUACUAACAUACAUAAAAGCAGAGGUGACAGGGGCUCUUCAAUUACAGCCUCCUCGGAUACCGUUUCCCCCUUCAAUUAUUCAACCAGAGGAAGAGCGGAUCCGCAAACACACAGCUGAAGCAGCUCUUAGGGCAGAGGCAGCCAGAGAGUGAGUUAGGGUGGGGGAGGGGGAAGGAAGGGAACUAGCAAGGGCGAGCAUUAUUUGCUGGAAGUGUUUAAGUUUAUUGCUCGAAUGAUGUUUCUAAUUAGUACCAUGGCAAUAAAUUAAAGUCGCCUUUGUUUAACUGAUUUAUUAUUUACUACAGCAUCUACCUUAGACAGGGUAAAUUGGUAAUGAAUUGUUUUUAAAUCAAAACAUUUGUAACGUUUUAUCAUCCCUCAGCCUCUGUAUGUAAAAGUGGAGAAAUCCAGGAACAAGGGUGCCACGAAACUUAGUCGUGCCCCACAGAGCGGGAAAAAGAGGAGGAGUGGGGUGUCAGGGAGUAGUGGCGCGAAGAUCCGCGUGGCCUGGGCCGCCCCACCCGAGGAGGGCGGACGCUAAGCGCCUACCCACGGAGCUGGGACUGGCCGCACCGCACGGGCCCGGAGGACGGACAACUGCCGUGACCCCCGGGACUUUUUGCAAACACUCCCAGGAGUGUGGCGGGACGUGUGGGUCCACGAGCGAGGCCUCCCCCGCUCACAGACCUGAUGUGACGGAGAAGCGGCCACCUCGAGGGUCAAGGAGGGAAGGCUCCGCACCCUGUGUCCCCGCCACAAGUCUCCGCCCAGUAACUGCCCUGGGGAGAAGCAGCUACGGAUCCUGUCUGGCUGCUUGCACAGCUCUGCAGCGAAGUGCCCCCUCCUGCCCAGUAAUAUUUCCCAGGGCGCCAGCGUGACUUCUCAGGCAUUAGCCAGGUUACCUACAGAGUCUGGGCUUCCCACUCGCGCGAACCGCGAAGACGCCGCGGCUGCGCUCUAUCCUUGUGCCGCCAAGCAUUCUGAGAUGCAAGCUGCUCCCCCAGCAAGGCUGGAGCCGGCAGCCGCCCCAAGCCUCUGCCACUACACCAGAAGUUGACUACAGCUCUGCAUCCCAGAGUUUGGUGUAUGCUUACUUCCGACUUACACACUCCUGGCCACUAAAGACAUAUCCCAGACAAAAUCUGACUUGAUUAAAAAAAAAAAAAAGUCAAUUCGUUCUUUAGAAAGGUACUUAUGGCAGAGAACAAGGAGGUGACAAGGUACCAGUGGUCCGCACCAGACAUCUAAGAAAGAACCAAGAGGUCCAAGUGUCUGACGUCAAGUACAUGGAGAGAAAUAAACUUUCCCUAUGCAACUGAAUUCAGGUUCACCUGGUGCAGCUUUUAAGAGGGCACCUCAAGCCCUCCCAAAGGGUUUCUGCAAAAGCCGCAGGCACACCGGGGUUUCAAAGCGAAGUCUUGCCCCAAAUGGCUUCACAGAUUUUUAUUCCUUGUAUCUUAAGCAAAAAUCUAACUAAAAAUAAUUCCAUCUACUUCAUUUGGCUUUAAAAGACUCAGCAUCCACAUACCUAAGGUUCAAAACAUAAACCCUCAAUACUAAGCAAAUCAGAAACAUUGUUAGAGCUUCUUUCAUCCAAAAGUAGGGAAAGGCUACAAGGGGUACAGCUUGAAAGUAUAAUACAUAUACUAAAAGCACAUGCAUGAGUCUCACUGAAAUGCCAAGGGAGGAGUGAAGCCAUCUGUGUAAUCAAUAACAGGAUAGUUAUAGAUUUCUGCAGCAGUGAAGUCUUUUAAAAGCAACAGUCAAUUAUGAAAAUAAAUUCAUUUUUACAAGUGAAACUCUGUACUGCCUGAGAAUAUAUUCAAAAUUAGAUUUACAACGUUAACAUCUUAAGAAAACUUUGACUCAGGUUCACUUUUACUUCCUCAUUUUUAUUGUUUAAAACAAUUUUAGUGGCUUAUGGUAAUUUAAAAGUAUAUCCAACAAUAUUCUACCAUAUAUAGAUGUGCACUUUCUCACAAUUUAAACAUAUUUUCUCUCUAAUAACUAGUCUUUUUAACAAUAAAGCAAUAGCAUAAAAUAUAUCUGAAUCUUAAUUAUGAAGUAAUUAUCAAACAAGGUGCUUGCACUAUUUUUACCCUGCCCCAUUUUUCAACAGCAUAUGGAAAUUACUGAAAAGAGAUUUAUGGUUAUAAACCUUCACCCCAUAUCCACUCCACACAGCCUCCCCCCCCCCAACUGGUGCACAUAUACAGCAAUUGCUCUGGCUCUUGGCAACAAUGGGAGAGAAGGGGAAGAGACGGGAGGAAGACUUUGCCAGAGAAGAAAAAUCUAGAAAAAUGUAGGUUCUUUCCCGGUUUCCCCUUCCUCCUCCUAUUGCCUUCAAGCAAAAGUAAUUUUGUUAGAGUUUGCACCUUCUGCACAAUGUUGAUAGAA
rnacentral:lncRNA from 1 species